ACUUUGAUAGCUUAAAUGAGAGCAUAGCACUGAAGAUGCUAAGGUAACAGCUUUGUUUCAGGGUG
rnacentral:tRNA from 1 species